CCUACUCUGAUUGUCACAAAUUAAAUUAAUUUCCCUAAGUAAAGUCUGUCUUGCCCAUGACAGCAGUGGCUGAGUGAUCUCUCCCUGUACUUAUCUCCACCCAUGAGCCUUUUGUUAUAUUUUUCUCCCUCCCUGUCUAGUUGAGGAGGGGAGUGAUAGAGUUGCUUCAGUGGGCACAUGGCACCCAGUCAGGGUCAACCCCCCCAGUGCAUUUUGUUCAAUGUAUCUUUUUAAUAAGAAAUAUCUUUGCAAUUUCCCCUUCUGAAAAGAAAGAGAAGUGACAGCAGUUCAUCCUGUAACACCUUUUGGCCCUGUGCUCUCUUUAACAUAUACCUGAUGUUGUAGGCUGAAAGAUUUGGAUGUUGGGGGAAGUUUAUGCCAGUGUGAGUUUGUUAGAUAAAUAUUUGCACAAUAAGUGUAUGGAUGUGAAGUAGGCUGGAGCUGAGCCUGUAAACCAUCAGGAUCUCCUUUCUUUCCACAGAAUCAUAGAAUUGUUUAGGUUGGGAAAGUCCUUUAGGAUCAUCAGGUCCAACCACUAACCCAUCACUGUCAAGUCCACCACUGAACCAUGUCAGUGAAGAGGUGUUUCGGUCACAACCUGUGGAAGAUCAGAAUAUUUUGAUGGAGCAAAACAGAGUUGCUCCAGAGACCUGCUCCCAGGAACUUCAAAAGACCCUAAAAAUAGAUUUAGAAGAAGAAUUAAACACCAGAGAAAAAGGAUAAUGCUGUUUUCUGCCUCCUCUUUCUGAAGAUCUGCAGGUACAGACAGACCCAGGGCCAAGCACCUGUUUUGCCUCCAACAGGAAUGUUCAAGAGGUGCAGGCAGGUCCUCAGAGGACUCAGGAAGAUGCAGCCUGGCUGUUCCUCUGCACAGAAGUCCUUUCUCACCAGAGAAGAUGCUGUGCAACUCAUGUGAAUCUUGCACUUCAGCCACAUAUUUGUUAAAGGAAGACUCCAGGUCAUUGCGACCCACAAUUCCUCUUGAUGGCUGCUCAGAAAUCUCAGGAGCUGGGAUGUCUGCUAUGCCUGAGUCACCAUUCAUUUCUAGGUUUCUGCGGCAGGAAACAGAAAUAUUGCUUUUUCACCCUGUACUUUUGGCAUUUGGACCCCGCUUCUUCCCAAUUCUAUAACCUUUUGAAGCUGGUCUUCUGCUUCUCCUGGUCAGAAUCUUUCAGAAAAAACUGUUAUUUGUUUCCAGUCAAUGGACCCAGCACUGAAGUGCCACGAGACCCACACAACUGUUGGCAAAGGUGCCCCACAGCUGUCAGACAUGGGGGGCUGCCCCCCCAGCAGUACACAGGGGUGAUUGGGCAUUUGUCAGCCCCACAAGGCCUGUAGAGCAGGAAGAGUCUGAAUACAGAGCAAUCCUACGGCAAACUUGUCACCUCCCCAGACAGAUCAGCCUUACGGCAGAAACUGCAGAGUUGUGCUGCGACAUCAGCCACAGCUCAACGUCACUGUCUGUCACCUCCACAUUCCUGGCUUUUCUUUAAUCCUCAAACCACUGUCUUUUCCCCGAAAUGCCAGUCAAACGAGUGAUUGAAAGAGAGAUGUUUAAGUUGUAGGCAAAACUCCUCGCUCUUCAUUAACUUCCCCGCGGCGAGUUUGACACACACAUAAUACACCCACACACCACCAAACAACUUCCACGCAACUCACACAGUUUUUUUUCUAAAGGAAGAAAAAAAAAAGAAGAAAAAAGAGGCUAUUAUAUGUUUUACUACUUCAAAUACUUGUGAGACAUGUAUCUACAAGAAUUCUCCUGAUGAUCCCUGAAGGCAAUAAUAAAAAGGAGAUAAUAACACUUUUUUCUCUAUAUAAAAAAAUAUAGAAAAUUUUUUGAUUAAUUCCUAGAAUACUGUAAGUCAGAGUACAGGCUACAUCCCUGCCUCCCACAGGCAAUCAGGCGUUGGAACAAUACAGUUGAUCUAAUUGCAAUAGAGGAUAUGAAUGCGAAGUAAUAAAGCUAUCUGUCACAUUGCAGUCCAAAUGACAUGCAGUCCCUGAGAGCUUUUCUUUCCUGUUAGUCUAAAGCCAAAGACCUUUCAAAAGGGUCCAGUGGUGCUCAGUGACAGGGUCAGAGGCAAUGAGGACAAAGGGAAACGCAGGUGGUUCCCUCCGAACGUCAGGAAACAUGUUUUUGUUGAGGGUGUCUGAGCACCUGCGCUGGUUGCCUGGGGAAAUUGUGGAGUCUUCAUCCAUGGGGAUAUUCAGAAGUCAUCCAGACGUGGUCCUGGGCAACCAGCACUAGACAGCCCUGCUUGAGUAGAGGGAUGGACAAGGUGACCUCCAGACAUCCUCACCUAUUCUGUGAUUCUAUGAACUCCUGGUCCCAUUUCUUAGCUCUGUCUCUAGCAGCCUCUGUCUAUAACACCAUAUAGCAGUAUAGUGAUUAAUAAAAUAGUGCUCACUCCUGAGUGAUCAGAGCGAUUUCCAAAAUAUUCUGCUAAUCUCCUCCAGAAAGAGCUAUGGAAAUGUUUUAUCUCCUCAAAUCACACAUAAUUAAUGCAAUAGAAAAAUUCAACAAGUUAUUAUAAUUCUCCUUGGUGAAAAUCAGUCUACCUUUGAUUCACCUUUCUUUUUCUCCUUGAUCAGAGAGAGGCUUUAGCAAUUAACAUAUAUCCAUUCAGUCUUUUUGGUCAGGAACAAAAUAACCCAAACCCACCUAAAAUGGUUGAUAGAGCAUGACCACUUCCCCAUUCCUGGAGGUGUUCAAGGCCAGGCUGGAUAGGGUGUUAAACAACCUGGUCAACUGGAAAGUGUCCCUGCCCAUGGCAGGGGGCUUGGAACUAUGUGAUCUUUAAGUCUCUUCCAACCCAAACCAUCCUAUGAUUCUUUGAUUCUAAAAAGAAGUGCACGUGUGAUCAUGUGUAUGUUUUGUAGGAAAAGUAUUUAUCUGUGUUUAUAUUUUCCAGCAUGUGUGGGCCGGUCAUCAUGCCCAGAGAGAACAUAUUUUCCUGGUAUAUUUAGUUAUGCAGUGCUGUAGGCUUGGUGGGAGAAUUCAGAGCAAUUAAUCUGGGAAACUGAUGUGUGUAUGUGCUCACAUUUCCUAAUGCUGCUCUGCUUGGAAGGCAAAGGACAAAAGAGGCUCCUGUACUCACCCGUCUCUAUAAACUCUCCUAAAGACAUUUGCGCAUAAAAAAAAUUGCAUUCUGGCACCAUAAAAUAAACCAUUCUUCAGAAACAAUGUCACCCUACAAUGUGGGUAAUUCUGGUUUUCUUGCCUACUUGCUGUGAGAUGGUGAUGUAGUAUAUGGGGCAGUGAGGCUUGAGUGAAUUCAGAGCUACCCUUUCCUUGAUGCUGCCCAGAUGUCCUGGAACUGAUGGCUCCAAGCCACACACAUCACUCAGGACUCCACUGGACAUAGCCAGGCUGGAUGGCUGUGCCCUUGCAUGGAGCAGAAAUGCUAGAGGGUGCAAAGCUGGAUAAAGAAAGGAGUCUGGAAAAGUGCAGUGCUGAUCCUACUCU